UACGAAGGGGGCUAGCGUUGCUCGGAAUCACUGGGCGUAAAGCGCACGUAGGCGGCUCUGAAAGUCCCAUGUGAAAGCCCACGGCUUAACCGUGGAAGUGCAUGGGAAACUGCAGAGCUUGAGUACCAAAGAGGAUCGCGGAAUUCCCGGUGUAGAGGUGAAAUUCGUAGAUAUUCGCAAGAACACCAGUGGCGAAGGCGGCUCACUGGCCCGGUACUGACGCUGAGGUGCGAAAGCGUGGGGAGCAAACAGG
rnacentral:rRNA from 1 species